rnacentral:rRNA from 1 species
UACGUAGGGUGCAGGCGUUAAUCGGAAUUACUGGGCGUAAAGCGUGCGCAGGCGGUUUGCUAAGACAGGUGUGAAAUCCCCGGGCUUAACCUGGGAACUGCGCUUGUUACUGGCAGGCUUGAGUGUGGCAGAGGGGGGUGGAAUUCCACGUGUAGCAGUGAAAUGCGUAGAGAUGUGGAGGAACACCGAUGGCGAAGGCAGCCCCCUGGGCCAACACUGACGCUCAUGCACGAAAGCGUAGGGAGCAAACAGG